ensembl:lncRNA
CCCCAGCCUUUCCUGGCACUUUGUACCCGAAUGAGUACUCACCUGCUAUUCCAGGCCCUGUGCACAAGGUCUGACACAGGCUAGAAGCCUGUUCAUUGAACAUUCCCCACCCAGAGCAUCCACGGCUCACAAUCGCCCACCUCUUUUCAUUUUUAAUUCUCACAAAAAUGGACGUUUUACUGCUCCUCCUGGAUGUCACUUAAAAACCUGGAUUUGCCUUUUGCCCGCUGCCAGGAUAAAGAACAGCAUCUGAGCUUCUCCUGUGGAAAAGCUCCUGACCAGGAAAGCAGUCAGAGGGCGCCCUCUGCCGGUGGACCUGUGACCCGCUCUAACGUAGGCAACUGCAAACCUAACCCAAGAGUACGAACGGUAGAAUCUCUGCCUCUGGGUUUCUGCUCAGCAGUGAGAGGAGCUUGGAAACUGCCCAGCCAGAGUGGAACGAAGAUCACGAAAUUAAAUGGGCUGCUCGCGGUUGCCUGAAGGUCUAGAAAAUCCCUGUGCUUCGGGUCGAAAUUCACCCUGGAAAGAGUCCUGAGUACAGGCGCACAGAAAGCACAGAUGUCGGGAAGAAUUUAUGGGUGGUACCCCCAGGACGCCAACGGGCUACUUGGGGUUUACUAUACUGCUUUUCUGUGAACUUAAAAAACGCAUAGCUGUUUGCCUAAGUUGCUAUACCCUCUGGGAGGCAAGCAUGAGUAUAUUGGCAGGAAUCACUGUGCGUUCUGAACCCUUAGCUGCGAUGCGAACUUAGUUCAUUCGGUGCAGCCGGGUUCCUGGAAGCGCCACCUCACACUCCGCAACCCGCCCGGGUGUUUGCAAAAUGUGUUAUCCGGAUCCUUAUAUUCUCUGUCUCAAGUGCCUAAGACUCAAAAACCAGACCAAACUAUACCGCCCGAGUGGAGAAAGUGUGGGAUAUGACACUAGAGGGAGGUACCAAAAUUGGUAGGAAUAACAGACAUCCCAGACCUCUGUUUCCAGCGUUUUGUUCAGUGUCUGGG